rnacentral:tRNA from 3 species
GGGUUUGUAGCUCAGCUGGUUAGAGCACUGUGUUGAUAACGCAGGGGUCGAAGGUUCGAGUCCUUCCAGACCCACCA